CCUGUCGUGCGACCCACUUCUUCGCAUGCGCAGUCGGCCGUUCCCGUGCGUCCUUUCCGUGCGUCCUUCGCGCGCUUGCGGCUUGAGCGUACUGUGUGAGUCUCCCGAGAUGUUUCUACAAGUUCCAGAAAUAAUGUUAAAUGUUCUGGAAACAAUUAAUAAAUCUACUUCUGAAAACGGACUACAUUCUGUACUCCAAAAGUAUGCUAAGAGUGACAUGAUGUCUCCAGAUAAACAUAGUCCAUAUUCCUGCAAUGCCAAUUUGCCUUGAUAGUGAGUACUUUAAAACAUUAAUAUUGCAAAAACAAACAGAUGUGGAAUAACCUCAAAAUCAAAGCAGAAGCAUUGGAUAAAUAAAUCUAAAGUCACAGGGUAUAGGUUUAUUCUCUUCUGGGCUACUCAGGAAUACUGGUCAAAGUGAUGCAGUAUACCAAAAGUCUCAGUGUAUAAAAAUGUACUUUUUCCAGG
rnacentral:lncRNA from 1 species